AAAGGGAGGGGCGUGUGGGAGGGAGGUGUGUGUUAGGUCACUGUUCAUACCUGUGUGCGGACCACCUAGAGCAUCGCGCAGUCCUGUGCUUGAGCAGCAAACGCACCUCUCUAGGUGCACACAUACCUGCGUGGGUUCCGUACAGUAGAAUGCAUGUGCUUGCUGCUAUUGUGUCUAUGAGAUUACCCAUUUCUAUGGCAUUUUCCCUCUCUUUAAAGAGCCAGUCCUGAUCAGUAAGGAUGCCAGCCCUUUACUGAGGAGACAGUUACCCGCUGGGAUUCGUGAAGGGCAGCGGUAGGGCCACAAGUUGAACAUCACUGGAGGCUGAGCUGUGUGUAUGAAAAGGGCAAUUACACAUGAUAUGAAGUGACUGCUUAUACUUCAGGCUUAACUAAGGAAUAAAUAAAUGCGUUGUUCUCUAAACUCAGCAUAGUAAGACUUUUAAUAAAGUUGAAAUGAUGCUUUGCUUGAUUUCAUUCAGGUUAAAACAUUUGUGAUGGCACCUAUGUGAUUUUUCUGGGAUAUUUGCUAAAUAAACACACGUUCUUUAAAACA